rnacentral:lncRNA from 1 species
UCUUUGGCCUCUCUUAAAAGUAGCAUAGUGGCAGUGUUAGAUUGGAGCGGCAUUCUGCGUGUUUCCCGCGUGAGCGAUGGUGGUCCUCGGAUCCUUCGACGGGGUUUUUGUUUAACCAUUUUCGUAUUCAAUUGGUACACAUUCUAUCAUACAAGCCAGUAGUUAUAGAAUUACCAAGACUUGUGCAUGAACAAAUUUUGAAGAAAUCUCAGGUCAUAACGAGUGUUCGUCUGCGCUGUAGGUCAAAAAAUAGUUUCAACAAAACCUCGGGAGCAUUAUUUUGAAUUUUCAUAUUGAUUUAGCUGCAUAUGAAGCAGAACUUUUUGUAAACACCUUUAGUUAUGUAUCGAGAUCAACACAAUCGUGAUAGGGUCUAAUCGGACUGUUAAACGUCCUGAUCAGAAUAACGUCUGUGCUCAGCAAUUUUGUUGGUUCCGAUCAGGAUUCAGCCCAAGGUAGUAACUAGUAGGGUUUACUUACUAUGCUGAGAGUAUGGUAACUAGUUGGGUAGUUUUUGUAAACCCCACUAGGUACUCCGUGUGUGUGUGUGUUUUUGACUUUUUGUGUUUUCUUUUUCUUUUUCAUGGGUUUAUUCACUAUGCUAACAACCAGCGUCGCUUGAAGAUGUUUCUAAAAAACUGUGAACGUCAUGAGACUAGGACACAAUGUGUUGUUGAAACAACGAUCAUGGAUGUUAUAAUGUUCGAAUGCAGGUUCUGCUUUGAUCAAUAUACUUUACCCAUUAAGCAGCACAUGGUAUAAGUCUCAGAAACACGAGGUUCUUAGGCCACAUCAAAAAGGUAAGCUUCCGAUGCUUUUCUUGGCGGUUGAAUGAAGUCUCUGUUACUCAUCAAACUGAUUUUUAUUACCAACUUGUGAUACUUGUUUCAUCGCCCUCUCGAUGGAGGAUUUUGAUGUGCCCUGAUACAAGAUCUUUAAACAGAGAUUGGCAGGGAAGAAGCAAUUUGCAUAAAUUGCAUUUUACAUAAUGACGAUAAACUUUCUGGGUAACAGUACAUCCCAGCAAUCGUGCGCCACAGUAUAAUAGCGGGGAAAUUCCUAAGAUGUGGCAGUCAUCGAUCUAUCGUUAUCGAAUUUGGAGAGCAUAAGGGUGAAUACUUUACUGAAGGGUGAUUCUCAAUUAGAGGCCUUUGAAGAGAGGGCUUAUCACAAUGCUGAGCAUUAGCCUGACCAUAUUGUACCGAUAUCAAUCUUUUAAGGUACAGAUGAAAAAACUGAUUAGAGCAGAAAUCAUUUUCUUUCGUUCCACUCAUUAGUCACUUGUAUACACAUAUCCUAGGCUCACCGUCUGCAACUUGUGAGAAAGUAUCUAUGUUUGAAAUUGGCUGAAACUUUGUUGAUGAUGC